UGCCCUCCCAACCGCCCCGCCCUAUCGCCUCCACGCGAGCCCAUCGCCGCCGCACUCUCGUGACUCCCCCAUGCGAGCCCAACUCCGCUGCCCUCCUGUGCCGCCCCGACACUUGCCACCGAUGGGGCGGCUGCGCGCGUGCCGCCACCAUCUCCGCCGCCUCCGCGAGACGAGGCCGCCACCAUAAGCUCCAGUCCGGCGCACUUCCCCGCCCGUGUAGGUACUCUUUCAUCGGCCGUGGUGGUCGCUGCCGCCGCGCUCCAUCUACUGCCCUGCAUCCGGGCGGCGGCAGAAGCUGCCCCGGCCUCCACGCCUCCACAGGAGGAGGAGGAAGAAGGCUUGGUACGCUACAUCCCUGUCAAGGCCCUACUUCCUCUCCACCAAUUGAGUUAAAACAUGAUUGGAGUACCUAUACAUACAAGUUACAAUGGGCCUGACGGGGUAAAGGGGUCUUCCGUUGAUGUUUUCAAAUCUGCAACAAGCUUGUUGUCUUACCCCCCGUGAGAUGCAGUUUAAUGACCUUGUACAAAGGUGUCCCAAAAUGUGAGUAACAUCUCCAUAUCAUUGAGUCUGAAAAACUACUGCACCAUCUUUAUUAGGAUUUUAUUAAUUUUAUUCAUCAGUGAUACAGGUAUAUAUAGAUGCUCUGUUCUGCCCUCAACUUUUGCUUCUUUUUGCUUUUUAGUUGGUUAUCAUCUGGCAAAGUAUGCUUAUUUAUUUGGCUUGCAGCCAAUAUUCUAUUGCUGAUAUACAUUUUCCAGGUAUAUUUGGUUGUAAUCUUUUAUCUGCUUCUUCUCUAAACUGAUAAUGAUAAGUUAUGUUCGCCGCACUUCUGCCGCCACCGUCAACGCCGUUUCAAUGACGGCGGCCUUGGCGCCGGAGUGUGGGAGCUACUUCUCAGCCUUGCUGGGGUCGACGGCGGCGACCCAAUCAUUAACUUUUGGUGCGUUCAUUUGUAUCAAGUGUUCUGGAGCUCAUACAAGCCUGGGGGUGCACAUUUCCAAGGUGAAAAUGGUGCAGAACACACUAGAUAUGAGGCAUUUCUUGGAAAUUACACAAAGCCUUUACAAGAUUGCUCAGCGGAUGACCGAAAUGAUUUUAUAAGAGGGAGUUGCUUAUACUCCUACAAAGACCAGAACGGUGGUGGUUGUGCUGGUGAGGGAUGCAAUGUGAUAAAAAGUGGAGAUGCAUGUGUUGUUUUGCGGUGUGUCCUUUGUUUGGGAAAUCAACAUUGUUGAACAGGUUGCCAGGAACUUAUUCAAAGGAUUGCAGUAGUUGGGAUCACAGAGCGAGCUUUGUCGGGCCAAAGGGAGAUCGGAAACGUGACCAGGGUCCUGGUAUGAUGUGCUCGUAAUAAGAAGAUAAUGACAUGUGGCGAGGAACAGUUUGACGGUGUUAAGGGAGUAAUUAACUAGGCAUAAUAGUAUAAUACUGCAGGUGUGCAGCUAAGACCAUUUUUGUCUAAUCUAACAUAAAUCCUUAGCAACUGGAUCUGGUCACUAUGGAUGGAGAAAAUUGAUUGUAUUAAAAGUGGUGGUGCUUUUUA